rnacentral:tRNA from 1 species
CAACAAAUAGUUUAUUAAAAUUUAAUCUUUGGAAGUUUAAGAAGUGUUAUCCACUUUGUUGA